CCAUAAAAACUGCUCUAACAUGGUGGGAUUGAUGCUAUCAUAGGGGCUUGAAGAGCAUAAGAUUAUUGUCAUGAGAAGGACAAAGACUAUUGUCAUGAGAGGUGUGCUCUGAGCAUCUGGGAAGUCUCAUAAAACCUCAAAAUUAGCAAUGGCUUACUAAACAUUAUAAAAAUGGGGAAAUAUUAAAAAUACAGUUUUCAGCCUUCAAUUAGCUUCUCCUGGUGACUCAGUUUGCUGCUUUCUGUGAAAAGUAGUAUUUCCUUAUAUUUAUCCUAAUAAAUACAUUCAUUCAGCUUCAGGGGAGGGAGCAGAGUACAGGCAAUGUGGGCAGACACAUAGGAAGAAUCCUGGACUUUGUAAAUAAUUUCCUACGCAACCAGUCCUAUAAAAAAUUAUGAAUUUAGUGCUGUGUCCAUUUGGCCUUUGCCAUUAUAGACUGAAGACUCCUGUUUCCUUAUCUCCUGCUUUUCCUUUUCACCUUUUUCAGCUUAUCUCCUUCCUACUUCAUUGGCCUUCCCCUACUCCAUCCAGUUCAAAUUUCAUGUGCCCUGAGGAUGUGAGAGGCGUGUUGCUCCGUCAAAGCUUCCCUCUUGCCAGCUGAGGGACCUCAUUUGGCCACCACCUUCUGAACCCUUGCCUUUCCAGGGAACGUGGGCUCUGUGGAAACAUAACCCAGAACAACAUCCCAUCCUGCAGUGUAAACACAAUACCCCUCCCUCUCUCAUGUCAUCUCAUUACAGUCAGCCCCUAUCCCAGUUCUAGAAAAUGUCCCAGUUGCCUAUGCCUAUGUGGUGGGAUUGGGGGCUUCUCUGCCUCCUUCCUCUCAUGACCUUUUUGGGUAAGCUGAGUCAGAAGAGCUUUGAAAGCGCCCCGUAGGAACUUGGUUCUGUGAGAAUUCCUCAAAUCCCUCAGAUUAAAUCAACUUCAUUAGGCAAACACAGAAGUAUCAAAAGCUCAAAAACUGAGUUUUUACUGACUUGCUUUAAAAAGGGCGUGGACCUCAUAUAUAAAAGUACUGUUUUUCUUCUCAGCUUUCCCAGGAAUGUAUGUAUUAUGCAAAAUACGACACACCUGUGUAGUUUCCCAAGGCACCAGCUUCUGUGACUUCUACUGAAAAUAAACAUGGGAAAGAUUUACCACACAUGGGGAUUUUUUAAGCUAAUUGGACACAAAUAAUUUUAAUCUGGGGUAUGAUCCAAGUGAAGCUGUAAGUGAACUCUUAUUUUAAGCCAAAUCUCCCUCAAAGUGGCCCCACCAAUUUUUUUUUUUCUCCCUGCCACUGAAGAGCGUGCUCCUUCUCACCCUGUUAGAUUCCACUAGCACGGAUAUUCUUUAAAAAACAGGUUGUAGGGAAUGAAGCCAAAGGGACAGGGGAAGAUAGGGGAGGCAAGCACCCAGAGCUGAUCCCCAGCUGUGCCUUCUCCAGGCAUGAAGCCCAAACUCCCACGGUUUUCUCAGCAAUUUAGCAACUAGGAAAAGCUGGCAAAAACGAUACCCUGUGAUCCAAAAGAAUGACUGCCCUGCCAGAAGACAAAGAAACCGACUGAUCCAAAAGAAUACCUGCCCUGCCAGAGGGUAAAUAACUCUAUCUUCCCUAUGACUCUCACUCUAGUUGGCCUAAGCAUUUGGUGAUAGAUUUAGAUAUUUGAAGCCAGACCUUAGGCUAAAGUAGUCAGGGAAGGCUUCAUGGAGGAGGUGGACUUAAAUGGCUCAAGACAGAAAACAUAUGGGCAGAGAGAAGUCAGAGUGAUUCUUGGUAGGAAUCAGCAUGAAUAAUGUGAUGGAGGGAAGGCUGCACUCACAGGCGAAGACCUAAUGGUAAUAGAACAUUUCUUUAGGGGAAGAAUUGGAGAUAAUAUCAGAAGGAGGUGUGAAGCUGGGGUAGUAUCAGUA